CCUCCGCAAUGUGAGAAAUCGCGACGGGGGGAUCCCAAGUGCCAUUCUUAACGGGAUGGCUUUUCAUUAGUGUAAAGAGCUUUUGGAAUAAGAGCUGGGCAAGACCGGUGCCAGCCGCCGCGGUAACACCGGCAGCUCUAGUGGUAGCAGUUUUUAUUGGGCCUAAAGCGUCCGUAGCCGGUUUAAUAAGUCUCUGGUGAAAUCCUGCAGCUUAACUGUGGGAAUUGCUGGAGAUACUAUUAGACUUGAGAUCGGGAGAGGUUAGAGGUACUCCCAGGGUAGAGGUGAAAUUCUGUAAUCCUGGGAGGACCGCCUGUUGCGAAGGCGUCUGACUGGAACGAUUCUGACGGUGAGGGACGAAAGCUAGGGGCGCGAACCGGAUUAGAUACCCGUGUAGUCCGAAGGCGUCUUACCAGAACGGGUUCGACGGUGAGGGACGAAAGCUGGGGGCACGAACCGGAUUAGAUACCCGUGUAGUCCC
rnacentral:rRNA from 1 species